rnacentral:rRNA from 1 species
UACGUAGGUGGCGAGCGUUGUCCGGAUUUACUGGGCGUAAAGAGCGCGCAGGCGGUCGUGUAAGUCGAAUGUGAAAGCCCCCGGCUCAACUGGGGAGGGUCAUUCGAUACUGCUCGACUCGAAGGCAGGAGAGGGAAGCGGAAUUCCCGGUGUAGUGGUGAAAUGCGUAGAUAUCGGGAGGAACACCGGUGGCGAAGGCGGUUCUCUGGGCCUUACCUGACGCUGAGGAGCGAAAGCGUGGGGAGCGAACAGG